CGUGAUUUGGGCUAUAUUACGGACCCAAAAUUACUUGUUCAAGCAUUGUUUUCGAAUUUUUUCAUGCAUCAAAGCUCGUUAAGACUAGAUGGGGUAUCCCUACAUAGCGGGUGGGACCCACGGCGAAUGGUUCAUCAAGUCUUCAAAAAAGAAUAUAUACGAUUGCAUUGCAUAUACUAACGGAUGCGAUCAUACCAGCACUAAUGCACCGGAUCCCAUCAGAACUCCGCAGUUAAGCGUUCUUGGGCGAGAGUAGUACUAGGAUGGGUGACCUCCCGGGAAGUCCUCGUGUUGCAUCCCUCUUUUAUGUUUAACCUUUUUUUUUCUGGUUAAAACUUUAUGACUCCAUAAAUUUUAGACCGUGAGGCCAAACUUGGCAUGUGAUACCUUUUCGGAAAGCCCAAAGACAGCCCUCCGACGAAAGAAGCAGGACAAUGGAACUUUUCCAUUGACUUUUUGUCGACCCCAAAUUUUGACCUUUAACUACUUUUUCGGG
rnacentral:rRNA from 1 species